UUCCCUUUUCACAUGAAGUUCUGACUUCCUUGAUAACUGGGACUAAAAUAAGAUCUCAAGACACAAGGCUAGGGCUAGGAAGGAACUAGGGAUUUUUUUCUCUCCUCCUGAGAGCAAAGGACCUCUUCCAUUCAGGCCCAUCAGGGGCACUGAGCACCUCCCAGCUGGCCCUGGCAGGGCAGCCCAGGGUGUCAGCUUUGCUCUUGCUCAGCCCCCUCUGUGCUGAGGUCCACAGGGCAUACCUCUCCUCUACCUGCAGCUCCGGGAAGUAGCUCUGAUUCGGAAAGGGAAGGAGAAAGGCCUGAAGCCUCCCUCUGCCUCAUCUGUCCCUAAGAAGUGGCUAAGUAGGCACAGUGGGCAAAGGAGGCUGAGUGACUGCUCAGAGCCGGCAGGGGGGAGCACAGGGCUUCAUCUGUGUGACUGCAGUUCUUCCUGCUGCUGCCCAUGGACACCAGAACUUCAUCGGUGGACCACAGCACGAAGGCCAGCGUUUCCAACAUUCCUAAGGUGGCAAGAGCACAGCUGCCCAUCCCAGUUGUCUCCGGGGUGACUAGCAUUCCAGGCGUCAGCUGUGUCAAAGCAGAUCCUGGGCCUGCACGCAUCCAAAGCUGCAGAAACAAGAGGGCCAGUUCUGCCAGUCUGGUGCCUGGCUCCCUAUGCACCCAUCUCCCACGUCCUUCUGCCUUCAUCUGGGCUACUUGA
rnacentral:lncRNA from 1 species